ACAGUGUAUGAUAUACCAUUUUGAAUCUAUGAGUCUGUACUUUUAAAAAUAUAUUCAGACAGAUGGCCUGAUAGUGUUGUAAUGUAGUUUAUUCUUCAUGUUGAACUGUGUAGUUACUGUAACUGCCAGAGACAGAGUACAUUCCAAAUGGCACCCUAUUUCCUAGUCAAAGUAGUGCACUUUAUAGCGAAUAGGGUGCCAUUUGGGAUGCCAGCUGACAGAGAACAAAUUAUAGAACAGAAGCUUAUGCAGAUCAGUUGAGGAGCUCACAGAAGCCUAAACACUGAGGAAGACAACAGCAACCAUUUUGAGGGAAUACCAAUACAACUAUGGAACUUGGAGUGUUUCUCAUCAUCAUUUUUUCAGUAAUAGGCAGACUCUGCUCUGUAACAAGCACAACUACAGAUCCUAAUAUGACAACCGCAACAGAGGCACCUGCUACAACAACCACAGCUGUCGGUGCAUCUCCUGCUCCAACAACCACAGCUGUAGGUGCAUCUCUUGCUCCAACAACCACAGACGUAGCUCCUACAACAACAACAAUAACUGAGGCUCUUACUACAACAACAACUGAAGCUCCUACAACAACAACCACAGAUCCAUUUACUACAACAGCUCCUACUACAACAACCACAGCUGCAGCUGCAGCUCCUACUACGACAACCACAAAUCCAUUUACUACAACAACAGCUCUUACUACGACAACCACAACUGCAGCUCCUACUACAACAACCACAACUACAGCUCCUACUACGACAACCACAACUGCAGCUCCUAC